ensembl:lncRNA novel transcript
CAGCUUCCAUCACCGCGUGGCGGAGCCCGUGUCCGGGCCAGCUGCCCAAUUUCAAGGGUCUGAAGAAGUCCUACUUCUCCGCUUCAGAAGAAUAGUCGCACUGUACACCCACCACAGACAAGUGGAAUGAAACCAGAGGGAAGCAAAGGCACAGAAGGGCGAGGCUGUCUAGAUGGAGAGAGGAAAUCCACCGUGCGGGGACUGUCACUAAGUUUCAUUAAAACCGAAAUGAAGUCAUACAUUCAA